rnacentral:lncRNA from 1 species
UGGAGUGUUAGUUUCUGGUUCAGGUUAUGGUUGAUAGGUAAGAACACGUGCCUAAAGCUAAGCUAGUGUGGGGGAUUGAGGGUCAGAAGGUUCCGAGUCUGAUGAUAAGACGUAGUAGGGUGGAGGAGAUUGGUGAGAUAGGUUCAUUAAGCAUUUAGCUAUAGAAAUUGGUAGGGUUGUAGUAGAGAGGUUAAAUUUUUGAAAUGGGGGAGAUGGUGAAUUAGAGGUUGGAGUAUCAGAGGGUUU